AUUGAACGCUGGCGGCAUGCUUUACACAUGCAAGUCGAACGGCAGCGCGGGGGCAACCCUGGCGGCGAGUGGCGAACGGGUGAGUAAUGCAUCGGAACGUAUCCUGUAAUGGGGGAUAACGUAGCGAAAGUUACGCUAAUACCGCAUACGCUCGAGAGAGGAAAGUGGGGAUCGCAAGACCUCACGUUAUAGGAGCGGCCGAUGUCCGAUUAGCUAGUUGGUGGGGUAAAGGCCUACCAAGGCGACGAUCGGUAGCUGGUCUGAGAGGAUGAUCAGCCACACUGGGACUGAGACACGGCCCAGACUCCUACGGGAGGCAGCAGUGGGGAAUUUUGGACAAUGGGCGAAAGCCUGAUCCAGCCAUGCCGCGUGCGGGAAGAAGGCCU
rnacentral:rRNA from 1 species